rnacentral:snRNA from 1 species
AAGAGAAGGCACUUUGACUUGUU